GAAUAUUGCGCAAUGGGCGAAAGCCUGACGCAGCCAUGCCGCGUGUGUGAAGAAGGCCUUCGGGUUGUAAAGCACUUUCAGUGGGGAGGAAAGGGUGCUGGCUAAUAUCCAGCGCCGUUGACGCUACCCACAGAAGGAGCACCGGCUAAUUCCGUUCCAGCACCCGCGGUAAGACGGAAGGUGCGAGCGUUAAUCGGAAUUACUGGGCGUAAAGCGCGCGUAGGCGGCUUGGUAAGUCGGGUGUGAAAGCCCCGGGCUCAACCUGGGAAUGGCACUCGAUACUGUCGAGCUCGAGUACGAGAGAGGGGGGUGGAAUUCCAGGUGUAGCGGUGAAAUGCGUAGAGAUCUGGAGGAACACCGGUGGCGAAGGCGGCCCCCUGGUUCGAUACUGACGCUCAUGUGCGAAAGCGUGGGGAGCAAACAGG
rnacentral:rRNA from 1 species